rnacentral:rRNA from 1 species
CGGUACCUGAAGAAAAAGCAUCGGCUAACUCCGUGCCAGCAGCCGCGGUAAUACGAAGGAUGCAAGCGUUAUCCGGAAUCAUUGGGCGUAAAGGGUCCGCAGGUGGCCAAUCAAGUCGGCUGUUAAAGACCGGGGCUUAACUCCGGGCAGGCAGUGGAAACUGAUUAGCUAGAGUACGGUAGGGGUAGAGGGAAUUCCCAGUGUAGCGGUGAAAUGCGUAGAUAUUGGGAAGAACACCGGUGGCGAAAGCGCUCUACUAGGCCGAAACUGACACUGAGGGACGAAAGCUAGGGUAGCGAAAGGGAUUAGAUACCCCUGUAGUCUUAGCUGUAAACGAUGGAUACUAGGUGUAGCUCGUAUCGACCCCAGCUGUGCCGACGCUAACGCGAUAAGUAUCCCGCCUGGGGAGUACGCACGCAAGUGUGAAACUCAAAGGAAUUGACGGGGGCCCGCACAAGCGGUGGAGUAUGUGGUUUAAUUCGAUGCAACGCGAAGAACCUUACCAGGGCUUGACAUGUCGCGAAUCUAGCGGAAACGUUAGAGUGCCUUAGGGAAUGCGAACACAGGUGGUGCAUGGCUGUCGUCAGCUCGUGUCGUGAGAUGUUGGGUUAAGUCCCGCAACGAGCGCAACCCUCGUCCUUAGUUGCCAAUAUUAAGUUAGGCACUCUAGGGAUACUGCCGGGGACAACUCGGAGGAAGGUGGGGAUGACGUCAAGUCAGCAUGCCCCUUACGUCCUGGGCGACACACGUACUACAAUGGUUGGGACAAAGGGCAGCAAGCUCGCGAGAGUAAGCGAAUCUCAUCAAACCCAGCCACAGUUCAGAUUGCAGGCUGCAACUCGCCUGCAUGAAGUAGGAAUCGCUAGUAAUCGCAGGUCAGCAUACUGCGGUGAAUUCGUUCCCGGGCCUUGUACACACCGCCCGUCACACCAUGGAAGCUGGCUACGCCCGAAGUCGUUACCCUAACCCUAAGGGGAGGGGGAUGCCGAAGGUAGAGCUAGUGACUGGGGUGAAGUCGUAACAAGAUAGCCGUACCUGAAGGUGUGGCUGGAUCACCUCCUUU